rnacentral:rRNA from 1 species
UAGGGAAUCUUCCGCAAUGGACGCAAGUCUGACGGAGCAACGCCGCGUGAGUGAAGAAGGAUUUCGGUUCGUAAAACUCUGUUGUUAGAGAAGAACAGCGCAUAGAGUAACUGUUAUGCGUGUGACGGUAUCUAACCAGAAAGCCACGGCUAACUACGUGCCAGCAGCCGCGGUAAUACGUAGGUGGCAAGCGUUGUCCGGAUUUAUUGGGCGUAAAGCGAGCGCAGGCGGUCAAUUAAGUCUGAUGUGAAAGCCCCCGGCUCAACCGGGGAGGGUCAUUGGAAACUGGUUGACUUGAGUGCAGAAGAGGAGAGUGGAAUUCCAUGUGUAGCGGUGAAAUGCGUAGAUAUUAGGAGGAAUACCUGUGGCGAAGGCGACUUACUGGACACAAAUCUGACGCUGAGGAACGAAAGCGUGGGUAGCAAACAGG